AGAGUUUGAUCCUGGCUCAGAACGAACGCUGGCGGCGUGGAUAAGACAUGCAAGUCGAACGAGAGAAUUGCUAGCUUGCUAAUAAUUCUCUAGUGGCGCACGGGUGAGUAACACGUGAGUAACCUGCCCCCGAGAGCGGGAUAGCCCUGGGAAACUGGGAUUAAUACCGCAUAGUAUCGAAAGAUUAAAGCAGCAAUGCGCUUGGGGAUGGGCUCGCGGCCUAUUAGUUAGUUGGUGAGGUAACGGCUCACCAAGGCGAUGACGGGUAGCCGGUCUGAGAGGAUGUCCGGCCACACCGGAACUGAGACACGGUCCAGACACCUACGGGUGGCAGCAGUCGAGAAUCAUUCACAAUGGGGGAAACCCUGAUGGUGUGACGCCGCGUGGGGGAAUGAAGGUCUUCGGAUUGUAAACCCCUGUCAUGUGGGAGCAAAUCAAAAAGAUAGUACCACAAGAGGAAGAGACGGCUAACUCUGUGCCAGCAGCCGCGGUAAUACAGAGGUCUCAAGCGUUGUUCGGAAUCACUGGGCGUAAAGCGUGCGUAGGCUGUUUCGUAAGUCGUGUGUGAAAGGCGCGGGCUCAACCCGCGGACGGCACAUGAUACUGCGAGACUAGAGUAAUGGAGGGGGAACCGGAAUUCUUGGUGUAGCAGUGAAAUGCGUAGAUAUCGAGAGGAACACUCGUGGCGAAGGCGGGUUCCUGGACAUUAACUGACGCUGAGGCACGAAGGCCAGGGGAGCGAAAGGGAUUAGAUACCCCUGUAGUCCUGGCAGUAAACGGUGCACGCUUGGUGUGCGGGGAAUCGACCCCCUGCGUGCCGGAGCUAACGCGUUAAGCGUGCCGCCUGGGGAGUACGGUCGCAAGAUUAAAACUCAAAGAAAUUGACGGGGACCCGCACAAGCGGUGGAGUAUGUGGCUUAAUUCGAUGCAACGCGAAGAACCUUACCUGGGCUUGACAUGUAAUGAACAACAUGUGAAAGCAUGCGACACUUCGGAGGCGUUACACAGGUGCUGCAUGGCCGUCGUCAGCUCGUGUCGUGAGAUGUUUGGUUAAGUCCAGCAACGAGCGCAACCCCUGUUGCCAGUUACCAGCACGUGAAGGUGGGGACUCUGGCGAGACUGCCCAGAUCAACUGGGAGGAAGGUGGGGACGACGUCAGGUCAGUAUGGCCCUUAUGCCCAGGGCUGCACACGUACUACAAUGCCCAGUACAGAGGGGGCCGAAGCCGCGAGGCGGAGGAAAUCCUGAAAACUGGGCCCAGUUCGGACUGUAGGCUGCAACCCGCCUACACGAAGCCGGAAUCGCUAGUAAUGGCGCAUCAGCUACGGCGCCGUGAAUACGUUCCCGGGUCUUGCACACACCGCCCGUCA
rnacentral:rRNA from 1 species